rnacentral:rRNA from 1 species
AUGCCUCAGUACGGCGAGUGAAGCGGCAACAGCUCAAAUUUGAAAUCUGGCCGCAAGGUCCGAGUUGUAAUUUGCAGAGGAUGCUUUUGGCGAGGUGCCUUCCGAGUUCCCUGGAACGGGACGCCAUAGAGGGUGAGAGCCCCGUACGGUUGGACCACCGAGCCUCUGUAAAGCUCCUUCGACGAGUCGAGUAGUUUGGGAAUGCUGCUCUAAAUGGGAGGUGUACGUCUUCUAAAGCUAAAUACCGGCCAGAGACCGAUAGCGCACAAGUAGAGUGAUCGAAAGAUGAAAAGCACUUUGAAAAGAGGGUUAAAAAGUACGUGAAAUUGUUGAAAGGGAAGCGUUUAUGACCAGACUUGGGCUUGGUUGAACAUCCGGCGUUCUCGCCGGUGCACUCUGCCAGUCCAGGCCAGCAUCAGUUUGUCCCGGGGGAUAAAGGCGGUGGGAAUGUGGCUCCCCCGGGAGUGUUAUAGCCCGCCGUGCAAUGCCCUGGGACGGACUGAGGAACGCGCUUCGGCACGGAUGCUGGCGUAAUGGUCAUCAACGACCCGUCUUGAACAACGGACCA